rnacentral:rRNA from 1 species
UACGGGGGGGGCAAGCGUUGUUCGGAAUUACUGGGCGUAAAGGGCUCGCAGGCGGCCAACUAAGUCAGACGUGAAAUCCCUCGGCUUAACCGGGGAACUGCGUCUGAUACUGGAUGGCUUGAGGUUGGGAGAGGGAUGCGGAAUUCCAGGUGUAGCGGUGAAAUGCGUAGAUAUCUGGAGGAAUACCGGUGGCGAAGGCGGCCAUCUGGACCAGCACUGACGCUGAGGCACGAAAGCGUGGGGAGCAAACAGG